AGAAGGAGUUUUCUAUGGUCAUCCCCAUUAAGGGACUAACUGACAUUGGCCUAAACUGUAGUGAACCUACGGUUAAAAACCAUCAAAUUGCGGGAAACCCCUAAAGGAAUCUUAACCAAGUAAGUAUGGUAACAUAACUUAUGGCACAGGUAAUGACUCGUGGUAUGGUAAAAUCAAGAUUCAUUAUUCAAUGGGCAAUCCGCAGCCAAGUGCCAAAUAUAAAAUAUUUGGUAUGCAGUUCAUCGACUAGACGGUGGUUGGUAUUAUUAGUUUUAAUAAUGCUUAAGAUAUAGUCAACACCCCCCUGAAAGGGUGCG
rnacentral:ncRNA from 1 species